UGUCUCUACCCCCGUUAGCUUCAUCUGUUCUGAGGUCUGUUGCUAAAAGCAAUCGGAAGGUCAGACAGGAUGCAAGCAGAAGAAAAAUAAACUUAUUUAUUUGACAAAGGAGAUUCAGUGACAGUUAUCAAAAUAAAAACAAAGAAAAACCUGCUUAUUCUGCUUCCCAACAUAGAGUGGAUGGAAAAAAAAAUGCCUUUUUAAAAAUAUCAUAUAUGUUUUUAACUUCUUUUUUUUAGCAUGCCAUUUCUUUUCUUUUCUUUUUUUUAUUAACUUGAGUAUUUCUUAUUUACAUUUCUAGUGUUAUUCCCUUUCCUGGUUUCCGGGCCAACAUUCACCUAACUCCUCCCCUCCCCUUCUAUAUGGGUGUUCCACUCUCCAUUCUCACCCCAUUGCCGCCCUCCCCACAACAAUCAUAUUCACUGGGGGUUCAGUCUUAGCAGGACCCAGGACUUCCCCUUACACUGGUGAUCUUACUAGGAUAUUCAAUGCUACCUAUGAAAUGAGAUUCCAGGGUCAGUCCAUGUAUAGUCUUUAGGUAGUGGCUUAGUCCCUGGAAGCUCAGCUUGGUUGGCAUUUUUGUUCAUAUGAGAUGUUGAGCCCCUUCAAGCUUUCCAGUUCUUUUUCUGAUUCCUUCAACGGGGGUCCUGUUAUCAGUUCAGUGGUUUGCUACUGGCCUUAGACUCUGUAUUUGCUGCAUUCUGGCUGUGUAUCUCAGGAGAGAUCUGCAUCCGCCUCCUGUCGGCCUGCACUUCUUUGCUUCAUCCAUCUUGUAUAAUUGGGUAGCUGUAUAUGUAAGGGCCACAUGUAGGGCAGGCUCUGAAUGGGUGUUCCUUCUGUGUCUGUUUUAAUCUUUUCCUCUCUAUUCCCUGCCAAGGGUAUUCUUAUUCACCUUUUAAAGAAGGAGUGUAGCAUUCGCAUUUUGAUCAUCCAUCUUGCGUUCCAUGUGUUCUAUGCAUCUAGGGUAAUUCAAGCAGUUGUGCUAAUAGCCACUUAUCAUGUGCAUGCCAUGUGUGUUUUUAUGUGAUUGGGUUACCUCACUCAGGAUGAUGUUUUCAAGCUCCAACCAUUUUUCUAUAAAUUUCAUAAAGGCAUUGUUUUUGACAUCUGAGUAAUACUCCAUUGAGUAAAUGUACCACAUUUUCUGUAUCCAUUCCUCUGUUGAAGGGCAUCUGGGUUCUGUCCAGCUUCUGGCUAUUAUAAAUAAGGGGGUGAUGAACAUAGUGGAGCAUGUGUCUUUUUUAUAUGUUGGGGCAACUUUUGGGUAUAUGCCGAAGAGUGGUACAGCUGGAUCCUCAGGUAGUUCAAUGUGAAAUUUUCCUAGGAAUCUCCAGACUGAUUUCCAGAAUGGUUGUACCAAUUUGCACUCCCACCAAUAGUGGAGGAGUGUUCCUCUUUCUCCACAUCCUCGCCAGCAUUUAUUUUUACCUGAGUUUUUGAUCUUAGCUAUUCUCACUGGUGUGAGGUGAAAUCUCAGGGUUGUUUUGAUUUGCAUUUCCCUUAUGACUUAAGAUGUUGAACAUUUCUUUAGGUGUUUCUCAGCCAUUCGGCAUUCCUCAGCUGUGAAUUCUUUGUUUAGUUCUGAACCCCAUUUUUUAAUAGGGUUAUUUGUCUAACUUCUUGGGUUUUUUGCAUCUUUUUAAUAUAAGCCCUCUAUCUGUUGUUGGAUUGGUAAAUAUCUUUUCCCAAUCUCUUGGUUGCCGUUUUAUCCUAACCACAGUGUCCUUUCCCUUCCAGAAGCUUUGCAGUUUUAUGAGACCCCAUUUGUCAAUUCUUGAUCUUAGAGCAUAAACCAUUGGUGUUUUGUUCAGAAAAUUUUUUCCAGUGCCCAUGUGUUUGAGAUGCUGGCCUAGUUUUUCUUCUAUUAGUUUGACUGUAUCUGGUUUGAUUUGGAGGUCCUUAAUCCACUUGGACUUAAGCGUUGCACACGGUGAUAAGCAUGGAACGAUUUGCACUCUUCUACAUGCUGACCUCCAGUUGAACCAGCACCAUUUCCUGAAAAUGCUCUUUUUUCCAUUGAAUGGUUUUGGCUCCUUUGUCAAAAGUAAAGUGCCCAUAGGUGUGUGUGUUCAUUUCUGGGAGCUGCCUUAUGUAUAAUACCCAAGAGCUAGAAGAAUCCGUAAUGGCAUUCAUCAAAGGAAUGAAUACAGAAAAUGUAGUACAUCUAAACAAUUGUGUACUACUCAACUCUUAAAACCAAUUAUCUCAAGAAAGCCAAAGACAAAUGGGAUGAUCUAGAAAAUAUCAUAAUGUUUGAGGUUACCCAAUCACAAAAUGGUAUGAAAUCACACAUUUUAUGAAAUCACCAAAAGUGGAUAUUGGCACAAAAGCUAAAAUUACCAAAGAUGCAGUUCACAGACAACUGGAAGCUCAAUAAAAUGAUACACAAAAUGUGCAUGCUUUAAUCCUUUUCAAAAGGUGGACACAAUAAUAUCUAUGAAUUUCGAGCAGAGACUGAGGAAAUCCCAUUCAGAGCAGGCCGUACAUGUGGCAAAAAUAUAUACACAUCAGUCACCAAAACUAGAUAAGAUUGAUGGAGCUAAGAAGUGCAUUGUGCCAGGGACUGUAUAGAGAUCUUUCCUGUGAGACACAGCUAGAGCAUAUCAAAUAAAGAAGUGAAUUCUAGAGGCAAAUCAGUGAAUUGAAAACAGACAGUAGGGGAGUUAUAGAAAAAGAGGAGUGGGGCCGGUUAGGGAUCAUAUGUGCAGGUAAUAGGGAAAGGAAAUAACAUUUCAAAUGUAAAUAUAGAAAUACCCAAUUAAAACAGGAAUAAAAUUUGCUAAAAAAAUAAAAAGAAAUAAAGAAAUUUAAGAAAAGAACACUGCGAAGUAUUCACAGCUAUUGACUCAGAAAUGUAAAAGUCAUUUUCAUGGAAUGAUAGUCAGAGUAAUACUAAUGGAAAGACUGAGAUGAUGAAGACUCAACUAGAAACACUUCUCUCUCCCAGAUAUCAGUAUCAGACAAAAACUGCACUAUAGGCAUCCAGAGCAUGGUGGAAUUUACUCUGAGGCGAGGACUCAAUACUUGUCUUUCCAUUCUUCCUUAGGACCAUUUUCUUCUUGACAAAAAGAAUAAGGCUAUGAGAUCUCAGCAAAACAACUGUGCCCUGCCCAUCACUUGGCUUUGGAAUAAAAAAAAUAAUGAUAUAAACUCUUUGACUUCCAGGAAUGAUAUGAACAGGAACUGUAAGAGCAGGAAGUCCACAUGCUUCUGAGAGGACCCCAGCUCCUAAUUCCCAUUUGUAGAUGGCUCAGAUCAAGACAAUCUCUUCAUGAAACAACACAACACCUACUAAGGACUCAGAGAGCUUUCCCAAGGACCUUUUUUGUACCAAGACAGAAGGACCAAAACCAUCAGCUUUAAAGAAAACUGUGCCCUUCCCAACACUUGGCUUUGGAAAAAAGACAUGAAUGAUAUAAAUUCUCCGACUUCCAGGAACCAUAACUAGCAGGGAAGUCCAGA